AUUGAACGCUGGCGGCAGGCCUAACACAUGCAAGUCGAGCGAGCGGCGGACGGGUGAGUAAUGUCUGGGAAACUGCCUGAUGGAGGGGGAUAAAUACUGGAAACGGUAGCUAAUACCGCAUACCAUCAGAUGUGCCCAGAUGGGAUUAGCUAGUAGGUGGGGGAACGGCUCACCUCGGCGACGAUCCCUGGCUGGUCUGAGAGGAUGACCAGACACACUGUAACUGGGAGACGGGCCAGACUCCUGCGGGAGGCAGCAGUGGGGAAUAUUGCACAAGGGGCGCAAGCCUGAUGCAGACAGGCCGCGUGUGUGAAGAAGUCCUUCGGGUUGGAAAGCACUGUCAGCGGGGAGGCGUUACCCGCAGAAGAAGCACCGGCUAACUCCGUGCCAGCAGCCGCGGUAAUUC
rnacentral:rRNA from 1 species